rfam:Asian citrus Psyllid, Diaphorina citri - Florida Strain, whole genome shotgun sequence.
GCCUCGGUAGUGAAGUGGUCAACACGAUCGCCUGGUAAACAGGAGGGCGUGGGUUCGAUCCCAGCCGAGGCA